CUAAUACAUGCAAGUCGAGCGAAUGGAUUGAGAGCUUGCUCUCAAGAAGUUAGCGGCGGACGGGUGAGUAACACGUGGGUAACCUGCCCAUAAGACUGGGAUAACUCCGGGAAACCGGGGCUAAUACCGGAUAACAUUUUGAACCGCAUGGUUCGAAAUUGAAAGGCGGCUUCGGCUGUCACUUAUGGAUGGACCCGCGUCGCAUUAGCUAGUUGGUGAGGUAACGGCUCACCAAGGCAACGAUGCGUAGCCGACCUGAGAGGGUGAUCGGCCACACUGGGACUGAGACACGGCCCAGACUCCUACGGGAGGCAGCAGUAGGGAAUCUUCCGCAAUGGACGAAAGUCUGACGGAGCAACGCCGCGUGAGUGAUGAAGGCUUUCGGGUCGUAAAACUCUGUUGUUAGGGAAGAACAAGUGCUAGUUGAAUAAGCUGGCACCUUGACGGUACCUAACCAGAAAGCCACGGCUAACUACGUGCCAGCAGCCGCGGUAAUACGUAGGUGGCAAGCGUUAUCCGGAAUUAUUGGGCGUAAAGCGCGCGCAGGUGGUUUCUUAAGUCUGAUGUGAAAGCCCACGGCUCAACCGUGGAGGGUCAUUGGAAACUGGGAGACUUGAGUGCAGAAGAGGAAAGUGGAAUUCCAUGUGUAGCGGUGAAAUGCGUAGAGAUAUGGAGGAACACCAGUGGCGAAGGCGAC
rnacentral:rRNA from 1 species